CUGAAAUGCUGUUGAAUAAGUUUUUUUUUUUUUCCUAUAUCUGAACUGUAAGUCAUGUCAUUUUAUGGUUCAAUGCUGUAUGUUAACAUAAACAUUGUCCAACACUACUUCUAAUUAAUUCUGCAGUUAGCGUAAAUAGUGAAAUAAACUAAAUUGUUAAUCAUGAUAUAUGUUAAAAAUAUUUUUGAUUGACAUUUAAACUCCUAUCUUAUUAUCUUUAUAUAAUUUUAUUUUUAAUUUUUUAUCACUAUCUUUAAAUAAAUUACUAAUAAAAAAAGUCUGGGGCAUGUUAAAAUAUGCAAGAUUACAAAAUUAACCAACAUAAUCGCGAUUAUGAUUCUUGCCAUAAUCAAACAGCCCUAGGAAAAACUCUAGUACAGAUUAAGUAAACACCAACCUCCUUGUUCCUCGUGUUUUAUUCCCCAGGUUUCUGGUUCCUCCUGUUUAAUUAUCCAGGUUUCUGGUUCCUCUUGUUUUAUUCUCCAGGUUUCUGGUUCCUCUUGUUUUAUUCUCCAGGUUUCUGGUUCCUCUUGUUUUAUUCUCCAGGUUUCUGGUUCCUCUUGUUUUACUCUCGAGGUUUCUGGUUCUUCGUUUUUUAUUCUCCAGGUUUCUGGUUCCUCAUAAUUUAUUCUCCAGGUUUCUGGUUCCUCAUAAUUAAUUCUCCAGGUUUCUGGUUCCUCGUGUUUUAUUCUCCAGGUUUCUGGUUCCUCGUGUUUUAUUCUCCAGGUUUCUGGUUCCUCGUGUUUUAUUCUCCAGGUUUCUGGAUCCUCGUGUUUUAUUCUCCAGAUUUCUGGUUCACUUGUAUUUUCUUCACUCUCUUCUUUAACCAACUCCAUCUUCACAGCAGCAGAUCUCAAUUCAGAUGAUAAUCCUCCAGAUAUUCCUGCUUGCUUCAGAACGUAGUCAAGACUACGGGGAUAAUAG